GGGACUGUUAGGUUUUUGACAUUUUAUCAUUAUACCAAUUAACUCAAAUAAUUUUUAAAUAUAAAUGCAAAUAAUAUUAUUCCUUUUUCCUAUAGUUCUUUAAUCAAUAAAUUAUAAGAAUUUUAAUAGUUAAAAAUCAUAUAUUUAAUUAAGUAAAAAUAUUUGAUCAAAUUGUCAACUUUGCCCUCUUAUAAUUUUACGAGGUAAGAUUUUAUUACAUAUGUAUAAAGUAGAUUUACUAUCAUUUUAUUUGGUAUCUUGAUAAUUAUGGACGUGGGUUCAAAUCCCACCAGUUCCA
rnacentral:tmRNA from 1 species